rnacentral:ribozyme from 1 species
CACAAUGAAAAAAAAAAAAAAAAAAAAAAAAAAAAAA